UACGUAGGGUGCAAGCGUUGUCCGGAAUUAUUGGGCGUAAAGAGCUUGUAGGCGGUUUGUCGCGUCUGCUGUGAAAUUUCGGGGCUCAACCCCGAACUUGCAGUGGGUACGGGCAGACUAGAGUGUGGUAGGGGAGACUGGAAUUCCUGGUGUAGCGGUGAAAUGCGCAGAUAUCAGGAGGAACACCGGUGGCGAAGGCGGGUCUCUGGGCCGAUACUGACGUGAGGAGCGAAAGCGUGGGGAGCGAACAGG
rnacentral:rRNA from 1 species